GGCCAUGCCUCUUACUGACUCUGAAAGCGAGCUGGACCAGACUCUCUCCAAAUCUGAGUUGCAGAGUCAACUGGACAUCGCCAACUUUAAAAACAAGGAGUUUAAAAGGGAGAACUCAAUGUUAAGAAAGUCCCUCUCCCUUUUUCAAGAUGAGUCAGCCUCCCCCGCCCUCCCUGCAGGCAAGUCCAAGCCUAAAGUGGGCAAGGGCGACAAAGGGAAAGGCAAGGCCCAGAAGAGAACCCACCCCCUGGUGUAUCAUACAGCUUCACAGAGGCGCAGGAGGAGGCAAUCGCUUGCAGGGUGAAGAGUAAGAAGCUACUGUAUGACAUAAAGGACAAACAGUACAAAGAGAAGGCAUUCAAGAGGCACCUAUGGGAGGGAAAGGCUGCGGAGUACAGUUGGAUUAUCAUUCAAUUCUGAAAUGGUAACACAGAGGACUCGAUUCUCAAAGCUGCGGGAGGGCCGACCCAAGAAGAAAUCCCAGAAGAGGUCUGGUGAUGGUCUGUCGAGUGGUGACGAGGAAGACCCCAUCCUUGCUGAGGAGGCCAGUUGUAACAACCGGAAAGGUAAACACCGGUAGUCACUCACGGUAACGCCCACCCAGCGAUUCGCUGUUGGUUGGCGUCUCCAUUCAAUUCUCCCUAUAUAGUUAGACGGAGCAGGAAGGGGAAGUGUGUGUGCAGCAAGAGAGAUCGUCGGAGCAACACGCUCAUCCGUUUAGAAACCAGCAGUUAGGUUGUUUAAAGUCUGUGUUACCGUUUGUCUGAUCCGCCGUCAUCAUACCCUUCUGUCGCUUCACGUUCCCGGAUUAUUGUUUGCAAAACUGAAAGGAGCCGCUCAUCUCCCAACCACCUUGAAAACCAGGACUGGAUUUCCAAAACCGACUGGAUUAGUAAAAAUUACUGACAUUCCCCCGUGGUAAAUUGACUGUUUUAUUUAUUUUGAAGAAAACCCGAAGUGGAACGUUUUGGAUUUAAAAUUGAACGGUGGGAAGAAGGAUUGUUUGAUUGUUUGUGGGGUAUUCAAAAUACACUUGCUAUUAUCAUUUUGAGUUGUGUCCUUUCUUAUAUUUUCUAAUGUCAUUCAAUGUUGGGUGUUUGCAGUGAGAUGGAUACACCUUUGUGCAGUACUUACUAAAACUGACUGACUAUCAAAAUCUGAAACGUCACGAGAGAGACCUGACUGGCACCCCAAAAAAGUAAAUAAAGAACCUAAAUAAGUAAGUCAAACUGUCACACAGUGAGAAUGACCGUGACAAGUUCAUCCGCCGGGUCUUUGGGUUUCUGAAGCCACACAUCAGACGUCACAACAAGGAAACACCAGCUAGUUUUAAGGACAAGUUGGCCCUGGCUGAGACGGGUGAGCUGGCUGGGAGUGACGACAGUACCAUGGCAGGCAGUUUUGCAGAUGAAUCCAGGGAGCCCACCAAGAAGUACACUGGCUACCCUACACCGAGACCUCCUUCCAGGACAGGAACAGCUGCUGAGGACCAACCCGAGUCUCCUAUGGAGAUGAGAGUUACCGGAGCAUCAUCCCGUGAUCUCCAAGAAAGGCUGGUUCAGUUCAUCACUAGAGAGCAGCCACUCCUUUCUGCAAGUACCUGGAAACUGAACUGGAUCGUCUGUAUGAUG